rnacentral:lncRNA from 1 species
AGGGAGGGGUUGGUUGGUGCUGAAGUAUUCUUGGCAUUGGUUCCAGGUCUAUUGUAUUUAUUGUUCAGAGCUUUAUUGAGCCUUGCGGAUGUACUUAAUUUAUAAGACCAAACCCAGGUUGAUGGGAGAAAGCUUACUAAGUUUUAUUUUUUAAAUGGCAAUUAUCCCACUUCCAUACUAAUCCUUUUAAAUAAUCAAUUGUUGCAUUCACUUUGUUGAAGCUGCAUUCUUUACUGAGGAACACAUUGUCAACAACCAUGUGAUCAUUAAACAUUUGCUUGAUCAUUAUGGCUAAUCUUUUUUCUAUGUAA